GGACUGGAAGGAGGGUAGAGGACUGGAAGGAGGGUAGAGGACUGGAAGGAGGACUGAAAGGAGGGUAGAGGACUGGAAGGAGGGUAGAGGACUGGAAGGAGGGUAGAGGACUGGAAGGAAGGUAGAGGACUGGAAGGAGGGUAGAGGACUGAAAGGAGGGUAGAGGACUGGAAGGAGGGUAGAGGACUGGAAGGAAGGUAGAGGACUGGAAGGAGGGUAGAGGACUGGAAGGAGGGUAGAGGACUGGAAGGAAGGUAGAGGACUGGAAGGAGGACUGAAAGGUCCUGAUAACAAUCCUGACAACUCAAUGAACUAUUCCUGAAAUAUUCACUUACUAGAAACAAUGUGAAUAUCAAACUCACAAAAACGAUCAUUCAUAAUUACACACACUUCUUUUAAUAUGUACAUAAAAUGUGCUAAUUUUGACGGCAGCCAUUUUCUUUUUUAAAGAACCAGAUAGAUAAAGUUGUCAAGGUCACACCGCUUAAAUACAGUGGCUUGCAUGGUUGUAUGGCCAGAGAGGACAUCACCCCUCCAGCUGUAAAUAAAAUGAAACACACAAAAAAAAAAUGAACUUAAAAAGAAGCUUUUUAAAAAGAAAAACAGUGAGAGAGAGAGCAAUGUAGCGGGAGGACUGGGCUUCCCAGUUGAUCUAGCUAAUGUUAGUUAACUAGCUAGCUAGUUAGCUACAUUGUUGACACUGCAGCUAGCUUAGCCAGCGUAACUCAUGGCAACAUAAUAUGAUAGCUAAUUAGCUAUUGCCACACACAACUGAUUAAUCUGUUCACUCUUUAAGCCAAUGACAAGGUGGCUAGCUAGCCAACGAGCAGAGAUCAUACGGGGAGCUAAACACAGGAGAUGAAAAAAUUCUGUCAGAUUCUGGGUUAGCCAAAGCAAGCUAGCUAGCUAGUUAGCUUCCUAGCCAUUUCAUUUGCACUCACCCUCAAAACACAAUUUCAACAGCAGAAUGAAAGUAUCUCAGUAAAAUACUUGUCUUACUCCAGAAAUAUACACAACAUGCCCAAAAGUAUAUGGACACCUGCUCGUCGAACAUCUCAUUCCUAAAUCAUUGGCAUUAAUAUGGAGUUGGGGACUGAUGUUGGGCGAUUAGGCCUGGAUCGUAGUCAGCGUUCCAAUUCGUCCCAAAGGUGUUCGAUGGGGUUGAGGUCAGGGCUCUGUGCAGGCCAGUCAAGUUCUUCCACAUGGAUCUCGACAAACCAUUUCUGUAUGGGCCUCUCUUUCUCUCUCUCUCUCUCUCUCUCUCUCUCUCUCUCUC
rnacentral:lncRNA from 1 species